rnacentral:lncRNA from 1 species
GGGGUUUUUGGGGUCCUAGACCUCAGCACUGGCCUUCUAAAUACUUAGGAAACGUCACAGGGCAUCUUCUGUGCUGGCUUAAGUCAGUCUUUGUGUCUUGCUUUUCUUCUGUGUGGUCAUCUUUGUGUGUGUGCAUCCCCUGCGGGAGGCAUCCCCUGGAGCUGGAGUUGCGAGUGCUUCUGAGCUGCCUGGUUUGGGAACUGGGAACUGAAUUUGGAUCUUCAGCAAGCACUCAUUUGCUUCUACCUACCAGGAAAGUUUUAGGUUGGCAAGCAGAUGGGUGCCUUAUUCUCUGUGAAGUCAAAUGCAAAUUUUAAACACUGGCCAGAAAUAUUUGAUUGCCGUUUCAACACAUGGAAAUAGUUACAUUGAUGCCUAAAUUGCCAUUUUCUGCAAAAAGCUGUGCAAUGCUGGUGUCAAACACUAGGCAGUCACUAUUCAUAAUGGCUGUUGCAAUUCCCUCAUGAAUAGACCGAGGAGUCGCUUCCCAAGUCAAUCGCCGCCUAUGACCAUUUAGCUCAAGUCGAUAUGCAAAAUUUUCAGCUUGCUUGCGUGUUCCUAUCAGUUGUACAAUUGCAAAGAACUGCUGAUGACCAUCAUAUUUUUCUUGUUUCUCCAAGACUAACAUGAAAUGAAAGCCAAAACAAGACUGCAUCAUCACCCAGUCAACAGCACCAGGAAGGUUAAUGUCUGUAGCAAGGAAAACUAUAUCUUCUCCUUGCAGGGUGGUAAUGGACUUGUGCUGAUGCAUCAGGUGGGGCAUGACGGCAUCCAAGGAGCCUUGCCACUUACAGGAAGCACCAGGGCAGGGGCAGGAGUAAGGCCUGAACUCACAGAGCUCCUCGUGCUCUGCCUUUUCGGUGUGUGGCAGAGUUAUUUCACAUCCAGAAGAGGCAUAUUUACAAGGGAAGAGUACUGAGUUGGCCACUUUCUCCAUAGCCAAGUUGCGAAUGGAUCCCAAUGGGCCCCGGCAAGUGGGACAACAUGUAAGUUUGGGGCGACAGUUGCUACAAACAAGAUGGCCACUCUGACACUGAAGAAUAGGUGGCAACACAUAGUCAAAGCAGACAGGACACUCAAAAAGACUCGCCAAGUCAUUGUUGGAUGCAGUUGUGCCGGUCAAGGCAGGUACCCUCUGGGAUGGUGGACACUUUGAGGUGCCAGUGGGUAAUGCUGUAGCAGUCUGGCGGCUCAUCUCUGUAAAGAAAAACAAGAAAAUAAAGGAAGCAGGAG